UACGUAGGGGGCGAGCGUUGUCCGGAUUUAUUGGGCGUAAAGAGCUCGUAGGCGGUUUGGUAAGUUGGAUGUGAAAUCUCCAGGCUCAACUUGGAGGGGGUCAUUCGAUACUGCCAUGACUAGAGUUCGGUAGGGGAGCGUGGAAUUCCUGGUGGAGCGGUGAAAUGCGUAGAUAUUGGGAGGAACACCGGUGGCGAAGGCGGCCCCCCUGGACCGGUACUGACGCUGAGGCGCGAAAGCGUGGGUAGCAAACGGG
rnacentral:rRNA from 1 species